AUCAUUUGUGAGCAAAAAUUCAGAAAGCAAUUUCAAGGCUCCAUAAGUGUUAUCUUUAUAGCUUAAUUUCAGCUUCCUAAUGUAACUUAAAUGUGGAGUUUAAAGAGAAACUAAUGUACUGGAGAAAAUCUUUCAAAACACAGCAGCAUGUUUCAGUAUGAAUAAAUUUGCUUUGCCCAUUAUUUUUCAUAAUGUUUUUUCACAUUAUCAUAGAAAAUUAUCAUAGCAACUUGAGUUUAAACAUGGACUUUCCCUAACACUGUCAGCAUUUCUUUUGCAUGUUCUUCAAGUGUAAUGCAUGAAAACCACGAUAGGCCUUCACUGUGCUGAAUACCAGGACAGAAGUACAGAUAGGAACUCACAUGUCGAAGACUUGCUGUUUGUUACUGUGGGAGGAUGAACACUCUGCAUCUAUUCCUGAGGUCACCAACCAGCAAAUACAUCUCCAUCUGGCAAGGCUCAGGGUCGAAGGGAGAGGAAAAGAAGGAAUUCAGUCUUUUAACCUGCAAGAAAACUCACUCAUGCAGACAGAAGUCCAACAGCAAACAGCACACCAGGGUUGCGACUGAAAUGAAGAGCAGUUGAUCAUUAUUCACCCUGUAUGAAAAUGAUACGACCUAAAAGUUUAACUGAGUAGUACAGUAUUUUGUUUUCUAAAGCCGGAGGUGGGUUGCUGGAAAACAAUGCGGUGUUUGCUGCAGGCUGAGAGGAGGACUGCGAUGUACUACCACCACAGCUCUAACAGGGCACAGAAGAGGACCUCAGUAGAAGACUACAGGUUUCUCCAUGGAGCAGCACAGAGGGUGAACAAAGGCAGGUGUCAUGUUACCCAGGUAGCUCCUGGCCAAUAGUGGUGACACCCCAAAUAAAAAAAAAAAGAGUAGGAAGCAUAGAUCAACAGACCUGGCCACCCCUCUCUUAACAGACCAAGAAAAGCUGUUCAAUACACAAGAAAAUAACACACACACUGUUUCCACGGUAUCUCACGGCAGACAUAACUUCCUAAGCCCACCCACAUCUGCACAGGAACAAAAUUGGAGCUGAAGAAGCAAAAGAGUAAGCUGCACCCUUCUUAUUUCUGGUCUCUAGAGCUGGGAUUCUUGACUAACGAUGGAAGGGGAAGCAGUGAGAUAUGAAAUGGAUAUGAGAUUAAAGUUUCCAGCAGGACUGAAUUUUAAUAACUGAAAGGACUGGAAAGUGAUGCAGUCUACUCAAGAUAUUAAGAUAUGGAAAAUAGAGAUUUAACAGAGCAUAAUUAAAAGCAGAGUUUGGAGAAAAUUAAAACUAGUCCAUAUAUUAUACUCCACUGAGAUGAAACAUCUCAAAAAUAGGUUUCAAAGAUUGGGGUGAAUUUUAGGUAAGGCUUAUAAUAAAACAUCUGACUAGGCAUUGUAGUUAGCUUUUCUCUCACCCAUCUCAGCAGGUUUGUGGAGAAAAAAGAAUUUUGAUGCUAUUUUAAGGCAAAGGGAGGGAGAGUAACAGAUAUCCUGUGUAGCUCUGGGGAAGGCUGAAGUCAAGGUCAAGGGGUCUGUGAAUAUUGUGUUAGGAACAAGUAGAAAAGUGAGUUGGUGUAAGCACCCUAGCAAAAGUGAGAGUCAGUCCACUUCAAAGAAAAGCCAGGUUCUCUGAUACGACAUGCUUUGGGCAUGUGUUUGUUCUGAAUAACGGUUAUUUUCUCACUGCAAAAAAAAAAAAAACAACUUUUUUAUAUGUUUAUGUAAAUGUGUUUUAAUAGUAGCUGAUGGCUUUCCAUGAAAAAAUUUUGGAUUAUUAAUUUUCUUGUUAUACUACAGGAUUAUUUGAGGCUCUAAAACUCAUGCAUUUUAAUGGGUACAAUACCACUUCUAUGAAAGGAACUUUAUCCCAUUUACAUCUCAAAUCAUAGUUAAAGUAAGAACAUAUAUGUUUGGUGUCUAAAGUUUC
rnacentral:lncRNA from 10 species